UUCUUGCCUGUGUUACAAGGUGUGAAAUUGAGUAAGACUCAAAGUCCGACCACUGCAGAAGAUAGAGAGAAAAUGAAAGAUAUUCCCUAUGCUUCAGCCAUAGGCUAUAUCAUGUAUGCAAUGCUAUGUACCAGACCUGAUGUGUGUCUUGCUAUAAGCUUAGCAGGGAGGUACCAAAGUAAUCCAGGAGUGGAUCACUGGACAGCGGUCAAGAACAUCCUGAAAUACCUGAAAAGGACUAAGGAUAUGUUUCUCAUAUAUGGAGGUGACAAAGAGCUUAUCGUAAAAGGUUACGUUGAUGCAAGCUUUGACACUGAUCCGGACGAUUCUAAAUCACAAACCGGAUACGUGUUUACAUUAAACGAUGGAGCUGUCAGUUGGUGCAGUUCUAAACAAAGCGUCGUAGCGGGAUCUACAUGUGAAGCGGAGUACAUAGCUGCUUCGGAAGCAGCAAAUGAAGGAGUCUGGAUGAAGGAGUUCAUAUCCGAUCUAGGUGUCAUACCUAGUGCAUCGGGUCCAAUGAAAAUCUUUUAUGACAAUACUGGUGCAAUUUCCUUGGCAAAGGAAUCCAGAUUUCACAAGAGAACC
rnacentral:rRNA from 1 species